AAAUAACCGUUGCUUCUUUGUUUUUCGCAGGCCGACAGCACAGCCGUCAGUAUAUGUAAAUAUCUAAAUGUUUAUCUCGUACCGGACGACAUGAAACAGUUAGAACUUUUUGUACUUCAACUAUACAAGCAUAAGGUACGUUUGUCAAUUUGUGGAGUCGUGGAUUUACAUAUAUCUACAAUAACAAAAGUGAUUGGGACUACCAUUACAUAUU